rnacentral:rRNA from 1 species
CCUACGGGUGGCCGCAGUGAGGAAUAUUGGUCAAUGGGCGGAAGCCUGAACCAGCCAAGUAGCGUGCAGGAUGACGGCCCUACGGGUUGUAAACUGCUUUUAUACGGGAAUAACGCGCCUUACGUGUAGGGCUUUGCAUGUACCGUAUGAAUAAGGACCGGCUAAUUACGUGCCAGCAGCCGCGGUAAUACGGCAGGUCCGGGCGUUGUCCGGAUUUCUUGGGUGUAAAGGGAGCGUAGGCCACAUGUCAAGCGUGCUGUGAAAUGUCCGGGCUCAACCCGGGCCUUGCAGCGCGAACUGGCGUGCUUGAGUCCGCGGAAAGCAGGCGGAAUUCGUCGUGUAGCGGUGAAAUGCUUAGAUAUGACGAAGAACCCCGAUUGCGAAGGCAGCUUGCUGCAGCGGAACUGACGCUGAUGCUCGAAAGCGCGGGUAUCGAACAGGAUUAGAUACCCCAGUAGUC